ACGUAUGGUGCAAGCGUUAUCCGGAUUUACUGGGUGUAAAGGGAGUGUAGACGGAGUGGCAAGUCUGAUGUGAAAACCCGGGGCUCAACCCCGGGACUGCAUUGGAAACUGUCAAUCUGGAGUACCGGAGAGGUAAGCGGAAUUCCUAGUGUAGCGGUGAAAUGCGUAGAUAUUAGGAGGAACACCAGUGGCGAAGGCGGCUUACUGGACGGUAACUGACGUUGAGGCUCGAAAGCGUGGGGAGCAAACAG
rnacentral:rRNA from 1 species